AGCUAUUUCUUCAGUGAUUGUAGUCAUAUCUGAAAAUGAUUGGUCAGUUGAAUGCAGAUUGCUGAAGUGUGAGUGUCUGUGUGUCGUAGCCCUGCCUCCAUUCUGCCCACUGUUUGCCAGCUUGGGAAACAUUCUGCAGUGUGACGUGCUGCUUGGCAUGCUGGGAGAUGUGCUGCAGUGUGGUAUGGAGCCCAGUGGAGGACACUGGUCUGAGUCCAUGCUGCAGUGGGUGCUGCACUUGAUAGGCAUGGCUCUGCUGGAGGAGCAGCAACAGCUAGAGAACAUUGGGGAUGACGAUGAAGUUACUUUCAACUUCACCCUCAAAAUCUCCCAUGGUGGUUAGCAUUAAAACGAUGCGCGAGUGCACAGCUGCUGCACCUCCCUGUGAAGGAACAGGGCUCUGUCACAAGGAG